rnacentral:tRNA from 1 species
GCAGGAUAAGGUAACUGACUUGUAAUCAGUAGGUCCCGGGUUCGACUCCUGGUGCCGGCACCA